GGACACUUGGUGAAACCCAGCCACCAUGCUGUAAGGAAGCCAAGCACUAUUUGGAAGGGAUACAUAUGAGCUUUCUGGUCAAGAGCCCCAUCUAGGAUCUCAGUCAACAGCCAGCAUCAACCAUCAGACUCUGAUGGUUUCAGCUCCCAGCCAUUAAGUUACCCUCAGAAUCCAACCAUCUAAGCAGAGUCUACACCCCUCUAUCAGAAGUGAACAGAUUUAUUUCUCACAGUUCUGGAAGAUGUGAAGUCCAACAUCAAGGUGCCAACAGAUUUAAUUCUUGGGCACCAAUCUCACCAUGAGGGUCCAAACUCAUGAUGUCAUCUAAACCUAAUUAUCUCCCAAAGACCCGCACCUCCUAAUGCCACUACAUUGGCAAUUAGAACUUUAACAUACGAAUUUGGGUGGGAUAAUUCAAUCCAUAACAGAUACCAAAAAGAGAACUAAAU
rnacentral:lncRNA from 1 species